CUUCUAAAUUACAUUCUUUAUUGAAUAUAGUUGUAUAGGUGGUGGUAAUAAUUAACAAGAUUCAGAUAUGCCUUUUUAUUUAAAUAAGCUACAGGAUAAACCACUGAAUCGAAUUUCUGAGGAUGCACAAGAUGAGAUUGCAUCAUUCACUGGAAAUGUGUCUGGUUUUUAUUUUUUUUUUUUAUUAUAAAUGCCUGACUGGACCUAAAGACUCCCUAUUUUUCUAUGGAUCUGUUCACAAUCUGCCAAGUUGUAGCUAAACUGGAAUUCUGGGCCCCUCUGAGUUAAGGAAACCGGCUAAUCUGCACAUUAAAACCUUUCCGCAUACAGAGCCCCUUUCACACUUGAAUGGGGCCUUUUCUCAGAAGCUGAACGUCUAUGCUUGAUGGCCAAACACUGUCACAACUUUGCUAUUAUGUCACAAAACAAGAUGAAUUGUGUCUGUACUAUUUAUAUAUAAUUUGUGUGUACAGAAAUAGUCAAUGUUUUAAAACAACCUAGCAAGUCCACCCUUUCAGAGACUUGAAAGGCCUGCUGGAGGUUUGUCUGUAUACUAAACCAUCUUUAAUCCUACUAUAUUCAAUGAGUUGCAACACUGUAUUUCCUAAAUCUCAGCGUAGUACUAGGACAUUGCUGUCCCAGGAUGACUGAGAUUACUGGGAGUCACGAGUCCUGCCUGCUGUCAAUCACUGUUUGGAAGGAGGCGGGCAGAAUUAGUCUGCUUUGAUUGCACCUCCCAUCAAUCCCAAGCAGCCUUCACAAAGGAAGAGAAAUUUAGUGCGGGUCCUCUGUGUGCAUGCGUAUGGCAACUGCCAUGGAAAAACACUUAAAUAAAUGUAUUUUAAAAAUCAAAUCUGAAAACCAUAGCCGUGAAACAAGUUAUGGGAACACAGUGCCAUCUAGGGGAUAUUAUUUGUCUCUAGAAUCACUCCACAUUAUUUCAUCAAUUCAUAAUAAACCAUUAAGUCCUCA